AGCAGUCGCCACGGUAAUACGUAGGUGGCAAGCGUUGUCCGGAAUUAUUGGGCGUAAAGGGCUCGCAGGCGGUUUCUUAAGUCUGAUGUGAAAGCCCCCGGCUCAACCGGGGAGGGUCAUUGGAAACUGGGGAACUUGAGUGCAGAAGAGGAGGGUGGAAUUCCACGUGUAGCGGUGAAAUGCGUAGAGAUGUGGAGGAACACCAGUGGCGAAGGCGACUCUCUGGUCUGUAACUGACGCUGAGGAGCGAAAGCGUGGGGAGCGAACAGGAUUAGAUACCCCCGUAGUCCCUGUCUCUUAUAC
rnacentral:rRNA from 1 species